rfam:Lactobacillus coryniformis subsp. coryniformis CECT 5711 COR000033, whole genome shotgun sequence.
UUCUCGGUUAUAUUUCUACCUAAGACUCAGGUGGCUUUGCCUUAAACGUUUAGUUCACUAAACGGCCCGCCGAGGAGAAAGUUUGUACGGUUUAAACAGACUCUCUGCGGCGUUGUGUCUUUGUACACAGCGUUUUUUUAUUAGGAGA